CUUGCUGUCACACUACUGAGGUUUCUGCUGUGUGACAUUCUCAGUGUUUGAAUCAGUCACUUGAGUCCUGGCAUUUUCCUGAGUGCUGGAGGCUUCCCAGAAGCUGCCCCCAAUGCCUUCUGCACUGCCUGGAGCCAGUGCUUCCAGCUGUCAGCUCUGGAGCUGAUGUAGCAGCCCGACAUUUGAGCAGCUGCAGCACCAGGAAAGUUGACUUGCAGAGGGAAAGGACACCCAGGCUUCUGGCAGAACAGCCAGGUGGCCUCACAGGAGGUGGGCAUAAGUUUUUAGCUCUGCAGCUUAGGAGUAGAGUUUUGCCAGGGCAAC
rnacentral:lncRNA from 1 species